rnacentral:rRNA from 1 species
CAGCAGCCACGGUAAAACAGAGGGUGCGAGCGUUAAUCGGAUUUACUGGGCGUAAAGCGUGCGUAGGCGGCUUCUUAAGUCGGAUGUGAAAUCCCUGAGCUUAACUUAGGAAUUGCAUUCGAUACUGGGAAGCUAGAGUAUGGGAGAGGAUGGUAGAAUUCCAGGUGUAGCGGUGAAAUGCGUAGAGAUCUGGAGGAAUACCGAUGGCGAAGGCAGCCAUCUGGCCUAAUACUGACGCUGAGGUACGAAAGCAUGGGGAGCAAACAGGAUUAGAUACCCCAGUAGUCCCUGUCUCUUAUAC